AUACGUAGGGUGCGAGCGUUAAUCGGAAUUACUGGGCGUAAAGCGUGCGCAGGCGGUUUUGUAAGACAGAGGUGAAAUCCCCGGGCUCAACCUGGGAACUGCCUUUGUGACUGCAAGGCUAGAGUACGGCAGAGGGGGAUGGAAUUCCGCGUGUAGCAGUGAAAUGCGUAGAUAUGCGGAGGAACACCGAUGGCGAAGGCAAUCCCCUGGGCCUGUUCUGACGCUCAUGCACGAAAGCGUGGGGAGCAAACAGGAUUAGAAACCCUUGUAGUCC
rnacentral:rRNA from 1 species